rnacentral:sRNA from 1 species
CUAGCUUGUAAGGUGUCCGUUCUUUGCUGAAGCUGCCAGUGGUGGAAUAUUUAUCUUUUUUUUUUUUUUUUUUUUUUUUUUUUUUUCCCACAUGAUUCGGCACAUGUGAAAAGUUUUGAUUCUCACUAAGAAUUUAAACUGAAAUAUUGAUACCGGCAUUAAGUAUUGCCGUUCCAUCUCUUAAUUGAGAGAAUAGGGACUCUCAGGGGAACUAGAAGGCUAGGUAUAAGAUUCGGUCCGCUAGUUAAGAAUAUUUCAGUGUAAAUAUUUAGUAUCUGCAGUAGAGAUAGAUAUUAGAAUGGCGAAGUACAGCACAAGCAUCCACCGACUUCCGAGUACGAACCACAGACAAAACCAGCAGAGAGAAAUUGACCGACAAAUGAUUCAUACCAAACAUUUGGCUUUUCUGGAUGAAUCAACUAAUUCUCUCAUAUAGACAAGUAUUCUGGCAGUGGGACAGCGUUUUCAACGAGACAUUGAACAAGGAAGUUGUGUGCCACUGGCCUCAAGUGCUUGCUCGAUAACAUGCGGAACGUAGUCACACGAACCUGGAGAACCAUGCAGAACAUGCAGCCAAUGAACUUCCGAUUUUCUACAUGGUAUCCAAUUUACCACCCUGAGCUAUGAGUGGGGGAGGCGCUGGUGAAAGAUACUAAACACUAUCAAAAGUUGGGGAGCCCAUCAAAGAGGGUUUCAUAAUCACCGCUGGCCUGCUCCUUGGCAUGGCUCGCUAAAGGGGGGAGUGGAGAUUUUACAACCCGGAGAGUGCAGGAAGCGGAUUGAUGAGGAUGAGUGAAGGGCUCAACAUAGCAAGGCCGGGAGCGAUAAAUGGAUCGGGAUUCAUGAGGUAAAGAAAGGGAGUGCAUGCGUUCCCAAGAAUGCUUACAAGAGCUCCCUACCAAUAUGAAGGCUCAGCGCCCACAGUCCUGGCGGUCUCGAACCUCCCCCCAACGAACAGCGCAUGAAACACGACUCAAACCAUCCCAGCCGUUGCGUUCCACAUGUCAUACACCCCCCACACACUGGCGGCCAUGCUCAAUGCCCCAACCAUUCUGUCUGGCACUCCCACCCCAUCCUCAAAGCUCCAAUGCACACACAGAGGCAACCAAGCCAGGCUAUUCACAAGACUCUUCUUCCACCUCCUUUCCCUCUCCCUCUGUCGUUCCCUCUGCCGUUUCAAU